rnacentral:lncRNA from 1 species
CUCCCCACUCAGAGCCAGAGGGCCAGGGCUGGAGACCCUGCCUGCCCCAGCUGAUUUCUAGAAUAUAGGUCUUGGAACAGCUUCCUUCUUUUCUCCUCCAGAUCUACAAAAUACACUAAAACAGUGCUUAACUGCACAGGCUUGGCAGCGAGGAUGGACUCGGGCUGCCAGCUCACCUCUCCCAACCCGGCACAGAGGCAGGCACAGGAACCGGGAGCGCUACUGGAGCCAGCAGAAUGGCCCUCGGGACCGAGCCCCUGGGUGUUUUACGAGGCCAGCUAUAUUCUGCUGCAAGCAGCCAUGGGUUUCUUCUGGGGGUACUCGUGCUGACACGCAGGUGCUGAAUACUGGUGGCCAAGAAAGCACUCUGCGGCUACAAGAAUUCAUCCCACUGGCCCCAACAAGGACCGUCGGUCGCUGUCGCUUCAUUGCCUGCACUGCUGCAGAACUGCACCUGGAGCCACGGCCGCAGGCUCUGCCACCGUGUCCUGUCCUGGCGGUUAGCCCUGCCUUCGUCGGGCUCGCACCCCAAAAAUUAGCAUGCAUAAUUGCACUUUCGUCCCAUAUGCAAACCUGUAGUCAUUGGACAACUCUGGUGAAUACUGCCUCACUUUUUUAGCUACGCAUUGAGGAUGUUUUCCACAUCUGUACAAAAUCAGCUAAAACUAUGUUGUUAGCUUUCACCCCUGAACUUGAAAAGCUGCCACUGUUUAACUCAAAUAACUGAUUUGCACAUCAAGCCGCCAGGACAUAUUACACGUUGUUUUGUGGUGUGACUCGCUGUACUACUGGAUAGCAUGGCUUGUUUGGUUCUUUCUUUGAAGCACUGAACCUUGUUCUAAGUGAGUUUUAUUUGGGAAUUUGAGGCUUAACGAAAAAGUGUAAAAGACACGGAAUUUUUGUCAGAAAUCCAAAGAUCAUGGCCACAGAGACUUUGGCAGACUACGGAUACUUUUGUCUUCAGACCCACAGCGCAGUGAGUAUUAUGGGCUCCAGACCCUCAGCACAGUUCCCCAGCCUGGAGCUGGAGGAUGAGCUGGGGCCUCACUGACGGUUCACACCUGGAGCGCGAUUCCGCACGCAUUUUGCUAGGAUGCUGCACAACCAGCAACAGGAGGUCGACGAUCAGGAAUGCUGGGCUCCGUUCCUGGCUGUGAAAGGAAGCGUGAUGUAGUGGUUAGAACAGACAUUGGAUCAGGAUUGCCAAGCUACAGUUCUGACACGAAUUCUGAAAAACACUGAAGGGAGGAGGGGAGAAGUCUCAGUUACGUUCUGCUGGAGUCAUAAGUUCUUUUCCUAAACAUAAUUUGUGUGUUAGGCUUUCCAAACACCGAGAAUUAUAUCUGGCUGCCUUUUGGGGCAAGUUAUAAGGCCUCGUUCAAAUAACAAAGCUCUGAAGUGCAGAGAAUAUAAACAGCAAUCAGAAGUGAGACUGGCGAGCUAACAUUUCUUGGCUUACAGCAUAUUGCACGUUCCUCUAGUCUGCAGGGUAUUUAUGUUUCUUCUUUUGUCUGGGGAAUAUUAUCCUGACUGGCAAUGCAAGAGAAAAGGCAGACAAAUUGAAGCCGAAUGCAAAAUAUCCUGCAAAAUCUGGUAGGCCGGUGCUCCUGAGAGCUCUGAUGCAAAAGAUAAUUAUAGAUGAAAGUGUAGCAACCGCUGUGGUUAAGGUUGCGAAAUGUUCUAUUUACUCAGGUUGCUUAGGAGCCGUGCAAAAACUACAUGCUGGCUCUGCGCAGCACAGUAUCUCCAGCGGGGCCAGAGCUUUGGGGAGGAUCGGAUCUGCAGUGUUCUCAAGUUCUGCAGAACCUUUAUUGCCCAAAUAUGGUCCAGCAGCAUAUAGGUGCUUAAAAGGCUAGAAAUUAUGGGCCUGCGAUUAGAUGUUUUGUAGAGACCGAAAGCUCAAAAGGCCCAGCCCUCAGAGGCUGAAUAGAUCAAAUUUUUGCUGAGAAAAUACCACUUUGUAGCUUUCUCUGCAGGAGUCCUGAGGAGCACAGGACCAGCACUCUCCCUACUCCUUGCAAAGGGCUACAGAGCCAGAUACACGUCAUUGUUUUAAGUCUUCUGUGUUUUCGUUUCACGUCAAGCCGAGGAAAUUAAUUGUAAAAGCUCCGUGUUUAGACAACAUAAAGCCUAAAGUACUCUGGGGCACAUCCUCAGUUUGUGUAAAUUGUCAUGAGAUAUCAAAGUAAAGAUCAAAUGCCAGGCCUUCCCUCAGAUAUCCUGUGUGUGCUAUGACACAGCAGCUACACGUGGUCAUAAACUGUUUUCCAAACCAUAACAUAAUGCAAUGCAGUAAUACUGUGGUUAGGCUAAUGAUGUGGUAGGACCAUCACAUAUUGUGCUAACCAGCAUCAUCUUAUUGGUGCUUUUUUUUUUUUUUCCUUCUUUGUUUACCUUGACGUGCUGCUUCUUCAUGCUUAAACCCUGUAAUCUCUCCGUCCAGUUUGCAUUGCACCUUGCUAAAUGUAGCUAUGGCCCAUUACUUGGGUGCAGAGGUGCUAAACCAAUACAAAAAAUGGAUUUUUAUAUUACCUGUUAGUAAUAUUGUUUAUUAUAGGCUCUCAGCAUACUGUACCUAAAGAAUGUAUGUUAUGAUACGCUGCAUUACUUGUUUGAUAUUAAUGUUACGUGUAUCAUAGAAUCAUGGAAUCAUUAAGGUUGGAAAAGACCUUCAAGAUCAUCUGGUCCAUCUGUCCCUCUACGACCACUGUCACCACCAAACCAUGUCCCCAAGCACCACAACCAGCCUCUCCUUGAACACCCCCAGGGACGGUGACUCCACCACCUCCCUGGGCAACCCGUCCCAAUGCCUGACCACUCUUUCUGAGCAGAAAUGUCUCUUCAUUUCCAACCUGAACCUCCCCUGGCACAACUCGAGGCCAUUCCCUCUGGUCCUGUCACUAGUUAUCUGUGAGAAGAGGCCGACCCCCAGCUCCCCACACCUUCCUUUCAGGUAGUUGGAGAGAGCAAUUAAGGAGAGAGCUCUCUCCUGAGCCGCCUCUGCUCCAGACUAAACAGCCCCAGUUCCUUCGGCCACUUCUAAGACUUGUGUUCCAGGACCUUCACCAACUUCAUAGCCCUAAAGUGUAGUGUCACGUAGUCCUCUAACUGUCACAAGGCAUACAAGCUCUUUGGUCUUCGUGUUGCUGAAGACUUCCCUGAUCAACCAAUUUCAUCAGCACAAUCAUAUGAAGUGUUGGUGAGGUCUCCACAGAAGUCCAGCACAAGAGCCAGGUCCUAUUUACAAUCUCAGAAAACCCCAUUACGUUUUUCUUCCUUGCUUAGUAUGUAGGAUAAAUUAUCAAAGAAAAGCAGAGACAAAACAACCUUGCAGCUGAUUCUUGCCAGAAAGGAGGCAUGAUGAGAAUACAAAAUAAAUAAAUAAAUAAUAGC